rnacentral:rRNA from 1 species
AACGUAGGACGCAAGCGUUAUCCGGAGUUACUGGGCGUAAAGCGCGGGCAGGCGGUCGGUCAAGUCUGAUGUGAAAUCUCUCCGCUCAACGGGGAGCAGCCAUUGGAAACUGGUCGACUGGAGUCUGGCAGAGGUAGGCGGAAUUCCGGGUGGGAGUGGUGAAAUGCGUAGAGAUCCGGAGGAACACCAGAGGCGAAGGCGGG